rnacentral:rRNA from 1 species
CUCCCGCCGGCGACCGGCGCACGGGUGAGUAACACGUAUGAAACCUGCCCGUAGCAGGGGGAUAAGCGGAAGAAAUUCCGUCUAAUACCGCGUAACAACCCGAGGAGGCAUCUCCUCGGGUUUAAAGGAAGCGAUUCCGGCUACGGAUGGUCAUGCGUCGCAUUAGCUAGUUGGCGGGGUAACGGCCCACCAAGGCGACGAUCAGUAGCCGGCCUGAGAGGGUGAACGGCCACAUUGGGACUGAGACACGGCCCAAACUCCUACGGAAGGCAGCAG